GUUUUUUGUUUUGAGAUGGAGUCUCGCUCUUGUCACCCAGGCUGGAGUGCAAUGGUGCGAUCUCAGCUCACUGCAACGUCUGCCUCCCAGGUUCAAGCGAUUCUGGGGAGGGGAGGAGGAGGGAAGCAAGGAGAGAGGAACGCAGGGAGCAGAGCCUGACCUGGUCACAGGGGUCUGGGAAAGACAGAGGCUUUGUUAGAGCCGGCAGCUGAGGGCCGAGGCCGAGCAGGGGUUAGGCCAGCACAGGACGAAAAGGAAGAAAGUUCCAGGUGGAGUCUGGUGGAGAAAGACCGACCUGGAAGGCACCAGCAUGUGCACGUGGCAACUGAGGUCGAGGACGUGCCUGAGAGAGAGGAGGAAGGUGCCCUGCGGACCGGGUAGGGUGCGGAGGUCGGGAAUGGAGAACGGUCGUUGGGCAGGUCCGGGUACCCGUAGCCAGAACCACCCGGGUGUGCGCAGCUCGGCCAGGCCCCGCCUCCCGGCGUCCCCGCCCCCUGCUGGGCCUCUCUCCGCAGCCGCGAGACCCGCGCUUGGCGCAUAGGCCGGUUCUAAUUUACAAGAACACCGCGGCCUGAGGCCGGAGAGUCCCUUCAACCCGGGAGGCGGCGGCUGCAGGGAGCCGAGACGGCGCCAUUGCCCUCCAGCCUGGGCAAAAAGAGCGAAACUCCGUCUCAAAAAAAAAAAAACAUGGCCGAAACCAGGAAGCUGCGCGAUGGCGCCACGGCCCCUCUUCUCCCGGCCUGUGUCCGGAAGGUUUCCCUCCGAGGCGCCCCGGCUCCCGCAAGCGGAGGAGAGGGCGGGACGUGCCGGGGCCGGAGCUCAGAGGCCCUGGGGCCGCUCUGCUCUCCCGCCAUCGCAAGGGCGGCGCUGACCUGAGGCCUCCCCGCAAAGGUCCCCGAGGCGGCGGCGGCGGCGGGCUGUGAGAACCGCAGAAGAACGCUGGGCGCGCAGCGACCCGUCCACCCCCGCGAGGAGAGACUUCCACAGAGGCAGCGUUUCCACAGCCCAAAGCCACGUUUCUAGGGUGAUGCAGCCCCAGUAAGUUCCUGGCGGGGAAGCUCACGGCUGUCAAAAGAACUCUUCGCUCCAGCCGGCGCACGAAGGGGAGGAGGGCAGGAGGCUGCCGCCCGCACAGGUCAUCUGAUCACGUCGCCCGCCCUAGUCUGCUUUUGUGAAUCUCCACUUUGUUCAACCCCCACCCGCCGUCUCUCCCUCCCUGCGCCUUCCCUCUAACCUUAAAGACCCAGCUACCUCUACGCAAAUGGUAGCUACCUCUGCGCAGGUGGAAGUUGAGUUCGGUUCACGCGGGACCCUCUUCCCUGUGGCAAGCUGCUGAAGGAGACCUGCUGUUACUGCUUUAGCUGCUGUUCUGCUUAAUCUCAGACAGCUGGAAGGUAGUAUUCCGCCCUCGCCCAGCCACCCGAGUAAAUGAGAAUGAUGACUGACUGAGACCCUGAUGGUGGUGGCUUAGGCUUAAUCUCAGACAGCUGGAAGGUAGUAUUCCGCCCUCACCCAGCCACCCGAGUAAAUGAGAAUGAUGACUGACUGAGACCCUGAUGGUGGUGGCUUAGGCAAGAUGAACGUCUGAAAUGGAGGCCCAGGGCUGCCACGAUGGCUCUGUAGUCAUCAGGGAGGGAGCUCCUUUUAUCUUGUUACCUACUCCCCUCUUGUGCCCCUUUCUUCCCUUGAUCUAAGAAGGUUGCUCCGGAUCUCGCCAUCUGGCCUGCGUUCAAUCAGCAGAAGCUUCCUGGAGGAGCAGGAGGAGGCACUGUGCUCGCAUCACAUACCAGUGGCCAGAAGUUGGCUUCAGGGAAGCUCAGGAAAUAGGAUGCGAGAAGCCAUGAGACCUCCCCAAACUCUGCAGUAACAGAGUCAACAAGACAAUGGCUUAAAGAUGGAGAGACCAGUUGAUCGGUCACACAAGCUGUUCCACGAUAAUUCUUGUGUCAGAAGGGGAGGCUGACUACCAGGACCACUGGCCCCACUUCCAGCCCCUCCAUUCUGAGUACACUUCAGAGGGCUCUGGCAGGCACGUGCCCAGCUUCCUUUCAAGUCUCUGGCCAAUGCAAUGUGAGCAGAAGUGAAGGGGCAACUUUCAGGUGAUGACUUGGAAAAGAAAGCUUAGUCCUCUGCUUCUCCUGUCACCCGAAAGAGAAACAGAGGCUUGUCUUGUUGAAGCCAGUGUGUUUGGUGUCUUUUUGUAUAGUGGCUUAGACAGUGGCCUAACUAGAAGACCAAGGCUCAAAGGAACACAUUUUGAGCUUCUCCACAGUUUGAGAACCUCUACAUUACCUACACCAAGCCUUCCCCAGCACUCAAUUUAUGGAAGACCAUUUCUCUUCUCAUGACACAUGUCCUCAUGUUGCUUUGGCCUGUUUUAAAGCUUUCUCAACUCCAUCUCAAUAAAGAAAUCUGCAGCUUUGUUGGAUGAGAGGAUCUAAAAAGUUCGUUCUUCCAAUCGGUUGUAAAUAUAGACACUAAU
rnacentral:lncRNA from 1 species